GCAUAUCAAUAAGCGGAGGAAAAGAAACCAACAGGGAUUGCCUCAGUUAACGGCGAAGUGAAGCGGCAACAGCUUCAAAUUUGAAAUCUGGCCUCACGGUCCGAGUUGUAAUUUGUAGAGGAUGCUUCGAGCAUGGUCUGGCCUAAGUUCCUUGGAACAGGACGUCAUAGAGGGUGAGAAUCCCGUAUGCGGCCAGGUGCCUACGCUCAUGUGAAGCUCCUUCGACGAGUCGAGUUGUUUGGGAAUGCAGCUCAAAAUGGGUGGUAAAUUUCAUCUAAAGCUAAAUAUUGGCCAGAGACCGAUAGCGCACAAGUAGAGUGAUCGAAAGAUGAAAAGCACUUUGGAAAGAGAGUUAAACAGUACGUGAAAUUGUUGAAAGGGAAGCGCUUGCAACCAGACUUGCGUGCGGCCGAUCAUCCGGUGUUCUCACCGGUGCACUCGGUCGCGCUCAGGCCAGCAUCGGUUUUGGUGGUUGGAUAAAGGCCCUAGGAAUGUAGCUUCUCUCGGGGAGUGUUAUAGCCUAGGGUGCAAUGCAGCCCACCGGGACCGAGGACCGCGCUUCGGCUAGGAUGCUGGCGUAAUGGUUGUAAGCGACCCGUCUUGAAACACGGACCAAGGAGUCUAACAUCUAUGCGAGUGUUUGGGUGUCAAACCCAUACGCGUAAUGAAAGUGAACGGAGGUGAGAACCCUUAAGGGUGCAUCAUCGACCGAUCCUGAUGUCUUCGGAUGGAUUUGAGUAAGAGCAUAGCUGUUGGGACCCGAAAGAUGGUGAACUAUGCCUGAAUAGGGUGAAGCCAGAGGAACUCUGGUGGAGGCUCGCAGCGGAUUCUGACGUGCAAAUCGAUUCGUCAAAUUUGGGCAUAAGGGGCGAAAGACUAAUCGAACCAUCUAGUAGCUGGUUCCUGCCGAA
rnacentral:rRNA from 1 species